GGAAGGUUGGUGUAUCCUCACUGUGUGGUGGUAGGGAAAGAAUAAUAGUAUAGUCCAGCUGUUGGUAGUAGUGAAGUUGGUAGGUGAAGAAGCCCAGGGGACUAAUAGCUUUCUCUCUGAAGUAAAGAACCCUGGUAAAAGGUUAAGAAAGAUAUGGAGAAGUCCCAGGAGUGAUGCAAGCUCUAGUGAGGAGCCUUGAUGAAAGGGUAGAAUCUUGAUUUUCAGGAAGGUGCUUGCAGAAGAUCAGAGCAGAGGGGGAUGGAAAAAAUGUGCCUGAGAAUGGUAGAACUGGCUUGAAUUUGUUUUUGUUAGAAGUUUAUUAGGGGACUUUAAUGGGGAGCCCUGGGACCCUCCUGCUCUGAGAAAAGGGUAACAAUUAAAAGGCCUAAGAAGAUAACAAGGGUUCGUGGUUUGAGAUAAAUACAGCUAAAUAUUUGUGCUAGGAAGGAGAGGCCUGCAGACAGGUUCAAGAAGAUGGAUGUCUACAGAUGCUAUACAGAACUUGCCUGCUUACUGCAGGACACCUGUACUUGGAUUAAAACCUAGGGGAAAGGUAGGGUCUGGAUUUCUCUAUAGGAGACCUGAUAAAGGUGGUGGAAAGACCCUGGAGAACAGGAUUGGAAUGACCAGUGAGUGUGGAUUUCGAUCAAGGAUCGGCUAAUUACAGGAAAUCAUUUUUGAAAAUCUAUAUCUUCCCAAUUUAAAGAGACUGGAGAGGCUGCAGAUGUACAAAUAUUGCAGUGAGCCUCCCGUAUUCAAUGAACAGGAGAUGGGAUAGACUAGAACGCUGCAGUACUUCACACAAAUGGAGAAAGAGCAACUGUCCAGCACAACCCUCUUCUCCUUCUCAGGGAAGCAUGGAACCAUGUGGGUGCAUUUCUUUCUAUCCCAGUU